GACGAACGCUGGCGGCACGCUUAACACAUGCAAGUCGAACGGAGAAUAUCGAAGCUUGCUUUGAUAUUCUUAGUGGCGGACGGGUGAGUAACACGUGAGUAACCUGCCUCUGAGAGUGGGAUAGCUUCUGGAAACGGAUGGUAAUACCGCAUGAAAUCAUAGUAUCGCAUGGUACAAUGAUCAAAGAUUUAUCGCUCAGAGAUGGACUCGCGUCUGAUUAGCUAGUUGGUAAGGUAACGGCUUACCAAGGCGACGAUCAGUAGCCGGACUGAGAGGUUGAUCGGCCACAUUGGGACUGAGACACGGCCCAGACUCCUACGGGAGGCGAGCAGUGGGGAAUAUUGCACAAUGGGGGAAACCCUGAUGCAGCGAUGCCGCGUGGAGGAAGAAGGUUUCGGAUUGUAACUCCUGUUGAAGAGGACGAUAAUGACGGUACUCUUUUAGAAAGCUCCGGCUAACUACGUGCCAGCAGCCGCGGUAAA
rnacentral:rRNA from 1 species